rnacentral:rRNA from 1 species
GACGAACGCUGGCGGCGUGCUUAACACAUGCAAGUCGAACGGAAAGGCCCUGCUUUUGUGGGGUGCUCGAGUGGCGAACGGGUGAGUAACACGUGAGUAACCUGCCCUUGACUUUGGGAUAACUUCAGGAAACUGGGGCUAAUACCGGAGAGGAGCUCCUGCUGCAUGUUGGGGGUUGGAAAGUUUCGGCGGUUGGGGAUGGACUCGCGGCUUAUCAGCUUGUUGGUGGGGUAGUGGCUUACCAAGGCUGUGACGGGUAGCCGGCCUGAGAGGGUGACCGGCCACAUUGGGCCUGAGAGACGGCCCAGACUCCUACGGGAGGCAGCAGUGGGGAAUAUUGCACAAUGGGCGGAAGCCUGAUGCAGCAACGCCGCGUGCGGGAUGACGGCCUUCGGGUUGUAAACCGCUUUCGCCUGUGACGAAGCGUGAGUGACGGUAAUGGGUAAAGAAGCACCGGCUAACUACGUG